rnacentral:rRNA from 1 species
GACGAACCGUGCGAACGUUGUUCGGAAUCACUGGGCCUAAAGGGCGCGUAGGCGGGCCGGACGGUCCGGAGUGAAAUCCCCCCGCUCAACGGGGGAACGGCUCCGGAUACCGCCGGCCUCGAGGGGGGUAGGGGCGAGCGGAACGCUGGGUGGAGCGGUGAAAUGCGUUGAUAUCGGGAGGAACACCAGUGGCGAAAGCGGCUACCUGGCCCACUCUUGACGCUGAGGCGCGAAAGCUAGGGGAGCAAACGGG